UACAGAGGGUGCAAGCGUUGUUCGGAAUUAUUGGGCGUAAAGCGCGUGUAGGCGGCCAGGCAAGUUGGGUGUGAAAGCCCUCGGCUUAACCGAGGAAGUGCGCCCAAAACUACUUGGCUUGAGUACCGGAGAGGAUGGUGGAAUUCCCGGUGUAGAGGUGAAAUUCGUAGAUAUCGGGAGGAACACCAGCGGCGAAGGCGACCAUCUGGACGGAUACUGACGCUGAGACGCGAAAGCGUGGGGAGCAAACAGGAUAGAA
rnacentral:rRNA from 1 species